GUGCCAGCCGCGCGGUAAUACCGGCAGCUCAAGUGAUGUCCCAUAUUAUUGGGCCUAAAGCGUCCGUAGCUGGCUGCGCAAGUCCGUCGGGAAAUCCACUCGCCCAACGAGUGGGCGUCCGACGGAAACUGCACAGCUUGGGACCGGAAGGCUCGAAGGGUACGUUCGGGGUAGGAGUGAAAUCCCAUAAUCCCGCACGGACCACCGAUGGCGAAAGCACUUCGAGAAAACGGAUCCGACAGUGAGGGACGAAAGCUCGGGUCUCAAACCGGAUUAGAUACCCGGGAUCC
rnacentral:rRNA from 1 species